rnacentral:rRNA from 1 species
GAUGAACGCUGGCGGCGUGCUUAACACAUGCAAGUCGAACGAAGCACCUCUCCCGAAGAUUGAAAUAGCUUGCUAUGGAUUGAUUCAACUGAGGUGACUGAGUGGCGGACGGGUGAGUAACGCGUGGGUAACCUGCCUCAUAGAGGGGGGACAACAGUUGGAAACGACUGCUAAUACCGCAUAGUAAGAGGAAUUCGCAUGUUUUUCUCUUGAAGAUUUAUCGCUAUGAGAUGGACCCGCGUCUGAUUAGCUAGUUGGUAGGUAACGGCCUACCAAGGCGACGAUCAGUAGCCGGCUUGAGAGAGUGAACGGCCACAUUGGGACUGAGACACGGCCCAAAUCCUACGGGAGCAGCAGUGGGAAUAUUGCACAAUGGGGAAACCCUGAUGCAGCGACGCCGCGUGAGUGAAGAGUAUUUCGGUAUGUAAAGCUCUAUCAGCAGGGAAGAUAAAUGACGGUACCUGACUAAGAAGCCCCGGCUAACUAC